ensembl:snRNA U7 U7 small nuclear RNA
CAGUGUUACAGCCCUUUUAGAACUUGUCUAACAAGUUUUCCAGUCUUCACUGGACAGCCCUU